GUCUGGGUAGCUCAGUUGGUUAAAGCAUGGUGCUGAUAAUGCCAAGGUUACAGGUCUGAUCCCCUAUGGGACA